CUUUUUGGUUAUUGCUUGUGUGCAAAUAAAGUCACCUGGGGCAUCAAUAAAAAAAAUCCCCCAACCAGCCCCAAUUCCAGCACUGAAUUCCCACUUUCAUCCUCUUCCCCUCUAAAUGGAGCAUUCGCUCCAGCGCAUGCUCGCGCUUCCACUCGUGGCUGCAGGGCGGAGAGCUGCGUCUCUCUCUGCGCUAUCUGGUGGGGGCCGAGUGGGGUCCAGGCAGACUUGGAGUUGCCUCUGGUGGUCUGAAGAGAGGAACUGGAGCCCCUCGACGGCCCCGCCAGGCCCCUGCAUACAUUGUGUGUGUGUGUGUGUGUGUGUGUGUGUGUGUGUGUGUGUGUGUGUGACUGUUCCUCCAGUUUAUCGCUCUCCAGCAGGUCCUGAGCCAGAAUUCAUUUACAGUUCGAGCUCCUCAUUUGACUCUUGAUAUUUGACCCCCGGGGGCCUGUGGAAUAUGGAGCCGCCGCCUCGCCGGACCGUUUGGCAAUAUUGAUCUUUUCUUUUCUUUUUCUCAAACAUUCAUGUUGCUAGGCAGCGACUGCGCUCGUUACAAAAUCAGGCCAUGGUAUCCACAAUUCAUACGCCCCGGAACUUUGAGCUGUUUAGCUGCUCUUUUGAUGUUCACGCACCGAGCCAGCCCAAACAUAAACGGAGCAAAGUUAAAUAAAUCAUGCGUCUCCGAGGCCACUGUGUGAGCUUCUGAAGUGGGUAUACUGUAUUUCAAAUAAGUUAGUUUUUUCAUAUCGGAAAAAGUGCAUGUCCUCAUAUUCACUACCUACGCUUCUUAAAGGUUCCACUUCAAAACCGAAGCAAGCGACCCCGCAAACGCCCUGUUUAACCGCGCUUUUCGGAAAUGGCGAGUUUCUACUCUCUUAUUGGUGCCAGGAGAAGUUAAGCUUGUAACAAAAUAGACCUCUCUCCCGGUGUGCGUGCUUUUCCUCUCACAGCCCCUCUGCUAAUUCCAAAGACAAUGACCUAAUGAUGAUGGUCUCUUUUAAACAACGUCUAUGUUUAGCGCCCCUCGCACCCGAAGCGUGUCUAGCAGCCGCUCCCACUGUUUUCAAGGUUGUUGGGGGUUUUUUGUGCAGCUCACUUUUCUUUUUUUUUUUACUUUCGAGAACUUAACAACUUCAUAUGACUCCCCCACGACGUCCGCCGAGUGAAUCCCUGCACGUACAUUUCAUCGCCCUAUGAACAGGGGCGUAGCACGGGGGGGCAGAUUACCAAGGGCCCAUGGGUAAUUAGUUUCAUGAAUUUGAAAUUGGCUGAGUACGUUGGUUGAGAGACUGAACUAGGUAUUUGAAAAUACAGUGGCGGUUCUCUGAGGGGGCCCUCUCACUUCUUACAGGAAGCGCAAAAUGGUUUAGUCUGCCCAUCAUGACUCGGCAUGAGAAUAUCCGUCCACUAAUCUACUGACCAGUGACUUCUUAAUGACUUCCCUCAAGAAAGUGAAGUCUGGGCCCCAGAAGAGAAAAGAGAGAGCAGAAAGUUAUGUAUGCACACUGCCCAUUGUGUGAAUGCUGGCUGCUGAAAGGCUGACGCUGACAUUGAUGGCCGGCUCGAAUUUGGAUGAAGAAGCUGGAUGACCCAGAAGAAUCCUCGGAGGAAAGAGCCCUCCUUUCCCUUUAUGAAAAACCAGGAUGUUCAACUCGUGAGCUGCUCUGCCUUAAGCUUCGCGCCCUAAAAGCCACAAAGAGACGAAAACUCCACUAUGCUGCCUUCCGCGCUCCAGCUCUGUACACUCACCCACCUAAGGGAAACAACACGCCUUCACAACCUCACCGUCCAAGGUGAUCCUGGCUGUUUGUUGCUUCGAGAACUUCAAAAAUACAAUCUCACUGUGUACAAGAUGGGACGACGUGACGGCUCUCCAAAAGUGAGGCCAAAACAUCUGGCUCCUCCCCUGGUGGUUGGCUGCGGUAUAAAGUCCCGUGUGAAGACAGCGUCGGCUCUUUGUCCCGGCUCGGGCAGAACUGAUGGCCUCACCGAGAGUCCACGGAGGUCUCGCUAAUCACUGCUGCUGCUUUAUUGGAACAUCUCUCACCUAUCUGUGAAAAGAAAGAGGCUUCGUCAGCACCAUUACACCCAGGUUUACAGAUUAAGACGCCUUUCCGAAGGUGGGACCACAUUUUUUCUUUCCCCCCACCCAUUUAGAAUAAGAAGCAUGCGGAGGAGUAUUAGGGCCAGUCAAACCAAAUAAAAUGAGAGGAGGAAUAGUCUUGCAUUUCGAGAGUAAAGUCGAUAAUUUUGAAAUGCCGACCGGAUGUUGAUGUUUUGUCAGCCAGCUUGCUAAGCUAACGCUAGCUGCUAAUCAAGUUGUAAAGUUGCGAUAUUAUUAUUGACACGCUGAUUGUUGAAGAAACGAUGCGGUGGCAUCGGGUGUUUGCGUAUGAACGUCGACGUGUGUCCUGACGCGAUAACGUGUAAAUUGCAAAACAACCGUUGAAGAAUUUCGAGAGCCGCGCAGUUACCGAGGCUAGCGUAGCUUUGCUAACGUUAGUUAACGUCGUUUCUUCUCGAAGGUGUGUUUUUAACUUUAUUCCUGACAUUUCGACUUUAUUCUCGAAAUGUUGAAUAAAUUAACUUUUCUUUCUUAUGCCUCGCAUCAAUACUCUUCCGUAGAAGCAUUAUUUUGCUUGCGCCAUCCUCAUUAGCAGGGCUGCUUUGUGGCGGUGGGCGGAUGGAUUGAAACACUCCUUUGGUGUUUAAGGUUGUGACAAUCAAUGCAGCAUAUCAUAUUAGAGUAACAUACUGCAGAGCUGUUGGGAUUCACAGGAGGUAGGAGUCAAUGUGCAAGAGACAGUAGGUGAACACUAGCCGAAUAAAGCACAAAAUUAUUUUUCUUACCAAGUGCAAAAUGCAAGGAAAACAGUAUGACCUACUACCAAACCCUAAGUGAGUGUCCAAAGAAGAAAAUCCAGGGAAUAGUGUAAACUGAAGUUUUGCAUGCACUGCAACCACUCAGCCACCGGAGCACUCCAUUCCCACACACAGUUUCAAUCAGAUCAAAUGGAGAUAUAUUUGGAGCAUGAUGGGUGGAGGAUGAUGAGGGUAUUUGAGGUCAUUGGACAGAGCUGCGUGUAGGACAUCCGACGAAAAGGGUUGGGCGCCGAAACGCAGAGCAGAAAGUCGGUACGACAAUGAGCAGGUAUUCAAAACGCGCAAAUUCAUAACGACCUCCAGAAAUGUCCGCAGACAUUAUCCGCCUAUAAAGAAAAAGAAGCUCUUAAAUGGAUACACGGCGAGAUGCGUCUACGAGCCGAUCAUGACAUUCGUUGCGUAUGUUAAUUCUGGUGAAAUUAUGCCAUUACGAGUCGCAUGAUUAGAGAAAAUAACAUUCCAUGUUUGAUAAGGACAAUUAGCUCUCUGAAGCCCACCUACCGCGCAGCCCGGAGGGAAUGACUACUUUGCAAAUACAUUAUGUGAUAAGUCAGAUUACUCUUCUCUCGUCUCGCGGAGAGCGCUGAAGCCGAUCUUUUGUGGAAAUCUGCAGCUUGACGUUUUACUGGAGGAAAGGUUGAGCCAGUGUCUUUGUCACGCCUCCUUAUAAAUGGCGCUGUGCCUUUUCUUUACUCCAAUCGAUAUUUCAUGUUGAAUUUGUUGAAGACAGUAGUCAACAGUAUCGGACCUUUUUACCUCCCACUCUGUGCAUUAGUACCUGACUGCUUGUUUAUGACCCCGUUCCGAAAUCUAGCAGUUCGAUAAAACCCUGCUUGACAAUUAAAGAUCCCCUCCAGUCACGUUUUAAAGUAUAUAAAAAAUAAUCGCCUAUGCCUAAUAUUUUGUUUUACAUUGUUUACCCCCCCAAAAAGUUUGAAAAAACCUCUGGGCCUGGAAACCAGCCACUCUCUCGCCCUCAAUGAGGAAUUCUGUGACUAUGAAUAUUCAUGGUAUGCAAAUAACACAGGCCCCGCCCACCACCGCUGCUCUCGCUAGGUUGACCGGUGGAAGAAUGUGCGCAACAAGACGGCUAGCGGCAACAUCAGCGACAUUCAGCCAUUGGACUUUCACAAACUGCUAACGCUAACGCUAACUGUCCCCUAAAUGUUAUUCGAAUGGUUCAUUUCAUGAGUAAAGUCAAAUUUCCGGCAAGGGAUUACAUGCACAUGUAUAUAUGUACUGAUAUUUAUUGACAACUUAUUGCUGGUUUUCCACCUGACAGCUGCACAUUUCUCUGAGGGGCUUUGACUCUGCCAGUGGGUCAAUCAGGGUUAUUUAACGAGUGCACUCGAAGUGAUAGAGGGAGAUAAUCUGAGUCAGGAUGGCAGAUUGCCUACUGCUGCAUCUUGUUUUGCAAUCUCUCCUCUAUAUGACAUAUAGACAGGCUCUGCGAGGCAAUGAAUUAAGGCAUAUUUAAAAAAAAGCAUUGUCCAUUUUUCUGAAACAAAUGCAGCGAGGUCAACGUCUUUGUGAGUCAUGAGCAUACUCGGAAAGAGAAAGGAUCAGAUAAGCUGUUUAAAGAUGAAUUUGGUUUCACCAGUUUUAGCCCAAGACACAGAGCGAACUUCCCCCGAUGUGAAACACCGCACCUACUUUUCCACUCGACAAACAAAGAGCUCUGUGAAAGUGUGCAGCGCAUCUCUCCGAUCUGAGCGAGUGGAAGCAGAGGAGGAAAGCUUCUCCCCUCUCGAAGCAGAAAACUCUCAAAGUAAUUGCGGCACCUCGGACACUGACAAGGGGUUCGCUCUCGGGCGACCGGGCGCGUAAUGCGUUUCUUUGCUUUGUGUUUUUCGCCCCUGCUUCCAUAAGUGCUCGGCAGCCUCCACUUCUCCGGCUCCUCCACAGAAUCAAUCACAGCAGGCGGCUUCACGCCGGCGCCAGAUGUGAUGCCAAAAGCCUUGAAACGCCGUUUGAGGUGCAAAUCAGUGGCAUCAUCAAUAGCGGAAUCCUUUUCUCUUUAAGAGAUCACUGUGAAAAAAAGGCCUUCAGUGAUGCCAUCUCUCCUCUUAAUAUACCACAGACCCUUUCUUCUUUUCCUUUUUACCAUCACAGGUUUGAAGCAGCGCUUGAAGAUGAAAUUGUUUUGCGCAUCUAAAUGAAGGGAUUAGAGGUUGAAGUCCUUUUCUGCGUUAUUGGUUUUAUUAACCGGUUCGGCUUUUAUACAUAAAUGCAACAGUUGGAUUUUUUAAUAAACAUAUGUUGACACUGAUUCAUUACGCCGUCCCUCCACUAACACACACACACACACACACACACAGAGUUGGCAUGCGUUUGAACCGACUUGUAUCCAAAUAUGUUAAACAUAUUGCAGUCAGCGUUCCUAUGUGCACUGCAGAUACGUUUCCUCCAUUACAAUUUCAUUGUCAGCCGCUGCUGUGGGCUAAUUCCUCUGCCAUUAUCGUCAUUAUCCUCAGGUCAUCCGUCAGAUGAUUUGUAUUCAUAAUGGGUCUGGAGCAAAUUAAUAUUACAUGGUCGACUUAAUGAGCAUAGGGAUAAACCUCAUGAAAUGCACAGUGCAGGGCUUUUUAUGAGACCGACAAAAACAACACAGCAAACCUGGUAGAGGUUUCAAAUGUGUCGAAAGAUUUUAUAUUUUAGGGAAUGUUUAUUUGGGUACAAAAUUAAUUUGCCAUGAUUUUUAGAUCUUAAGGACACACAAAUUACAUUUUGGUAGGUUGGGGGGAAAAGCUAUUUAUAAAUAUGCCCAUUAGAAGCAGCAUUUAUUUUAUGCAGACAGAUUUCGUUCAAUUGAAAACGAAGCUGUUGUCUGCAACCAAAUAAAUUAUAGCGCAACUCCACGAAUCCAGAAAGUUAACACAGAACAACAAGUCCUCCAGCUCAUCGUCGUCCUGGAAACGAUAAUAAAAUGCAUAGUUUAGGGUUGUUAAACAGUCAUGGAUUAAACUAACGACACUGAACAUCCUUUUCACAAUCUGUCUCCCGUGUGAAAUUGCUGUGCUUUGUCAACCGGCCUAUGCUCAACACGACUUCGUCGCUCUACUACGUCACCUGACUUUUUCCUUUGCUCACGUCAUAAUCACGACUGCGACCAGAUGUUUGCCGUAAAAAACGUCUGUUGGAGGCGUGGAGACAAGGUUUAUGUAAGGACCUCAUAUUAAAUCGAGUCAGCGAAACAUUCAGUAUUUUAGUUUUAAAUUGAACAGACAAUAACAUUUUACUCAUUUUGCCUUGCAGUUACACUCCUUGCCAGUAGGGGGCAAUGCAGCCCGCUGGAUACAGCUUGAUACCAGGCAGCGGGUCCGUCCAAUUGUUAUAUGGUUGAAGGGUUGUAGCAGGACGAACUCUCAGUCAGACCCACCCCCAAUUCUGCGUCCGGUUUCAAAAAAAAAAGCAACAUUGAGUUAGAAACUUGAGACUUCGAGAACAGCAGAUACGGUGGGUUGCCACUUGGUCAUUAUUAACUGCUCGCACAGAAGGACUAGGUAUGGGCUUAUUUUUACGUACUGUCUACUCAAAUAAUAAAAUGUCAACUGUUGAAAUGUCUUGAUUCACGGUUUUUGCAGACUCACGGUGGAGGAGGAGAGCGAGGCAGAAUGAUGUACAGUAGAGGCGGAGCUAAACAAGGUGUACACGAAAGGAUUCCCCCAAAAUCAGCUCAUGUGAGCUCGCGGACACUAAUGCUGCUUUUGAAGCCGUCGGUCACGACGCAGACGGGCUUAGAGAGGAAGCUUCUCAGUCUGGUGAAGUAGCCAUCUGAAGCUUCAUUAUUUGAGCCGCUCCCCGGAAGGAUCAUUGAUUCGCCCCAUGCAGCAGGCUGACACUGACCUGAAGCCCCUGAUCACUGACUGGGGAUCAGAGGGGCUCAUCAUUUAUCCCGCGGCCCACUGCUCGCACGGCACUGCAUCAACACCACACGUCCUCCACCAACGAUGCACUCGCCCUCCUCCCGUUGCUUCCAGUGACAGUUAAAGGACAACGAAUGCAUUUAAGUGCCUAGAAAUAUUUUCCUAAUAAGCCGCGCAGAAAAAAUUGCUGCCAUAAAGGGCCCCCCACUCAAAUUGAAAAUCGUGCAAGUGGAAUGUCAGAAUUCAAGAGGAAAAUCUCUUGGAAAAUAUAUAUUUUUUUCUGUGAGUGUAUUGUCUUUGUGCUCUUUUCAAAUGAUUCUGGAUCCUGCAGAUCACCGCCCGAAAAAAAAAGUGUGUUUGGUUUAAAAUCGUGUGUGGUUAAAAUUUGGGUCCGUUUUUUUGUUA